rnacentral:rRNA from 1 species
GUAGGGGGCGAGCGUUGUCCGGAUUUAUUGGGGCGUAAAGAGCUCGUAGGCGGCUCAGCAAGUCGGCCGUGAAAGCCUGAGGGCUCAACCUCAGGACGCCGGUCGAAACUGCUGUGGCUAGGGUCCCGGUAGAGGAGAGUGGAAUUCCCGGUGUAGCGGUGAAAUGCGCAGAUAUCGGGAGGAACACCAGUAGCGAAGGCGGCUCUCUGGGCCGAUACCGACGCUGAGGAGCGAAAGCUAGGGGAGCGAACAGGAUUAGAUACCCUGGUAGUCCUAGCUGUAAACGUUGGGCACUAGGUGUGGCGGACUCAUUGACGUCUGCCGUGCCGAAGCUAACGCAUUAAGUGCCCCGCCUGGGGAGUACGGUCGCAAGGCU